rnacentral:rRNA from 1 species
UACGUAGGGGGCUAGCGUUGUCCGGAAUCAUUGGGCGUAAAGAGCGCGUAGGCGGCCAGAUAAGUCCGGUGUGAAAGUCACAGGCUCAACCUGUGAAUGCCGCUGGAAACUGUCUGGCUAGAGUCCGGAAGGGGCGAGUGGAAUUCCUGGUGUAGCGGUGAAAUGCGCAGAUAUAGGAGGAACACCAAUGGCGAAGGCAGCUCGCUGGAACGGUACUGACGCUGUGGCGCGAAAGCGUGGGGAGCAAACAGG